AAAUAAAAACUUCAAGGGGGUGGUUAGAAUCUGAAAAUGAGGAAGGCAAUCAACCUGUGUAAAUACCAAUGGUCCUUCUGAUAUGUGACAUCUUGGACGUGUUACUUUUUUCUGAUUCUAGAAAUUGAUGGUUCUGUUGUCAUGUUAGAAUAGAGUUAGUUUUGCAUUUAUGCUCCUCAUUUUGUCAAUCGUUUUUUGGCUUUUGUCUAUUACUUGCUCGAGAAUUUAAAGGUUACCAAUCACCCUUAACUUUGCAGAAAUGUUAGCGAUUUAUAAGUAUGUUGGCUGUUAACACUAUUCAGCCAAGAGACACUGAGUGCUUCUGCCCAACAGCCGCAAACAUGGUGGAAGAUUGGCGUUGUCACUUUCCUUUUGGUAUUAGUGAUCUAUCUUAAGGUUUGCGACAAGGACAAUGGACGCGUAGUGGCCGCUGCUCUCUACGGCCAUCCCAACAAACAUACUACAGACGUGGAAGGGAGAGACUGCUAUGUAUGCUAACUACAACUCCAAUCCGAGGUAUGCUAACUACAACUCCAAUCCGAGGUAAUGCAGGGAGAGACUUGCUGCUACUACUAUGGUUUGCCGGUAAUUAGGAGUAUUUGUAUUGUUCAGUGCCAAAAUGUAAGUAGGAGUAUUUGUAUUAUUCAGUAGUAGUAUCCAGUGUGAAGAAAUUGUACUCAGUGUUUGUCUACUACUAUGGUUUGCUGGUAAUUAAAGAUCUAUCUAGGUACUUUCUGCGUGGGUCAUGCAUGCUCUGUACUUACUUUGUUAGUAUUACCAAAUCCAUUAUUCAUAACAGCCCCCUCGUAGGCAACUUAUGCCUUUUUUGUAUUACUACACACUCAUUUACACAUGUUUGAUGUUUCCAUCCAGUGAACCGAAAGAGCACACAAGAAAAAGCGCUCGCCCAAUCAAACCACACAAGUCUAUAUUGUAGGUUUCUCUCGUGAUGAUGCCAGCGCCUCUACCGUGUCCACCAAUAUUUCAAUCGCAUGUGUAGGAGGAGAAUAUUUGACGCGCCAUCGACACUGACUCUAGCGCCCAUGGAUCCGGCUACCAGCUCAUCUGAGGCAAUCCCCAAGGCUUCGUAAUUUAAUUUAGUAUGAUUGAUAACAUGCACUUCCUUGCAUAAUUCUAGAAAGCACAGGAGGAGAAGCUAUUCUUCCUCAGAAUGUGAUUGUGAAUUAGAGAGCGACAGUGAUCGUAAACACAGGAAGAGGAAGGACCGCAGAAGGCACAGAAACAUGGCCACUCUGACUCUGAUGGUGCCAGGAGGUGCAAGCAUAGGUCAAAGAGGAGGUAUUUAGACUCUAGUGAUGAGAGUGAUAGCGAUAACUACGAUAGUGAAUCUGAAGAAAAUAUACAUUGUAUUGUAUAUGCUACUGAAAUAAAAUAUACAUUUUAUUUGCAAUCAA